CCUACGGGGGGCUGCAGUGGGGAAUAUUGCGCAAUGGACGAAAGUCUGACGCAGCGACGCCGUGUGAGCGAAGAAGUCUUUCGGGAUGUAAAGCUCUGUCAAAUGGGACGAUAAUGACGGUACCAUUAGAGGAAGCCCCGGCUAACUACGUGCCAGCAGCCGCGGUAAUACGUAGGGGGCGAGCGUUAUCCGGAUUUACUGGGCAUAAAGAGCGUGUAGGUGGUUUCUUAAGUCAGGUGUUAAAUCUCUCGGCUCAACCGAGAUCCGCACUUGAUACUGGGAUUCUAGAGAUUAGGAGAGGAAAGCGGAACUCAUGGUGUAGCGGUGAAAUGCGUAGAUAUCAUGAGGAACACCAGUUGCGAAGGCGGCUUUCUGGCCUAAAUCUGACACUGUGGCGCGAAAGCGUGGGGAGCAAACGGGAUUAGAUACCCCUGUAGUC
rnacentral:rRNA from 1 species